UCGAGAAUCUUCGGCAAUGGGGGAAACCCUGACCGAGCGACGCCGCGUGUGGGAUGAAGGCCCUUGGGUUGUAAACCACUGUCAGAGGGGAUGAAGUGCUAGAGAGCUAUCUCUCUAGUUUGACAUAGCCUCAGAGGAAGCACGGGCUAAGUUCGUGCCAGCAGCCGCGGUAAGACGAACUGUGCAAACGUUAUUCGGAAUCACUGGGCUUGAAGAGUGCGUAGGCGGUUUCGUAAGUAGGGUGUGAAAGCCCUCGGCUCAACCGGGGAAUUGCGUCCUAAACUGCGAGGCUAGAGUGAGGUAGGGGUGUGUGGAACUUCCAGUGGAGCGGUGAAAUGUGUUGAUAUUGGAAGGAACGCCGGUGGCGAAAGCGACACACUGGACCUUGUCUGACGCUGAGGCACGAAAGCCAGGGGAGCAAACG
rnacentral:rRNA from 2 species